CCCCCAAUAUCAAAUUCGAAUAAUAAUGUAGUUCGAAAAAAAGUUGAAAACAUUUUUUUUUGUUAACCGGCGGCAUUAAAAAGAUGAAUGUAUUAAUUAAGAGUUGCUUUACCAACAAAAGCACGGGACAUCCACUCAUCUUUCUCUCUUCCCUAAACGCACCCACACCACAAAAAUUUCUAUCAUUGUCUCUCUCUCUCUCUUGCCCACAUCACUCUCCUUCUCUCCCUCGGUCUCUCCGUCUCCUUCACACGCACACGCAACAAGCAGAGAACACAGAGCCUUCCGUCUCCGUCUCUCCCUCGGUCUCUCCGUCUCCUUCUCUCCCUCGGUCCGGUCUCUCCGUAGUCCGUCCAAUAUGCUGGGUCACCUCAUCACCUCAGUCUCUCUCGAAUCUCGAUCUCGAUCUGGAUCCUUCCCUCAAUCUCUCCAUCCUUCUUCUUCUCCCUCAGUCUCUCGAACUCGAUCCUUCUCCGGUUCUCCCUCCCAUCUCUUCUCUGCAACUCCGCCGAGCACCAUCACCACCUCCCCCCCCCCAUCUCUUCUCUGCAACUCCGCCGAGUUGCUUGGGGCCUUUUUACGAUCUCUCUACACCCCGGGGGACGUGAUUUUGUUGUUGUUCAGCUCGUACCCACCACCUGUGGUUUCCUCCUCCCUUUCUCACCUCCCGGCGGCGGCGACGACGACGAAUAUCGCGAUAAUAUCGAUAAUAUCGCGAUAUUUUCGAUAUUUUCGAUAAUAUCGCGAUAUUUGGACGAAAACCACACGGAUACCUAUUUAAAUAUCCAUUCCCCGAAAAAUCGAUAUUAUCGGCGAUAUUUCGCCGAUAAUAUCGAUAUUUAAAUCCAUGGUUAUAGGUAGGUGUAGAUGUGAAGGUGCCUAAGGAGUCAUCCUAAAAUACGCUGUUAAAGGCCUUAGCUAUAAAGAAAUCAGUUGGUGGUUUCGCCACAGCAAACAAUCCUCUGAGAGCUAAAAAAAUUCGCAUUUUAGCUUCCGUGUCUACGAUAAUACUGAAUUCGUGGGCUUGUAAAAGAACUAGUAAGCCCAAUUUUCCUAGAUUUUAUUACAAGUUUACCCUUUCUAAUCAGCGAUGACGUUUGUGGAAGAGUUGCAUAUAUGCUGUGCUUUCUUGCCGCCCUUUCUGCUCUUACCGUGAGCGAUGGCGCGCCUAAAGCACAAAGCGGCCCCGCCGCCUGCAGCCGCCGACAAGUCGGAAAAUCGGCGUAGUUUAAACAUGGAGAGGUCGGCUUACUUCUUCAGGAGGGAAGCGGCGAACUGUGAAUUUUUUAUAUGAACUGUGAAUUUGAAUACGUACAGGUGAGUUCAUCGGCAGCUGGUGAUGCGGAGAAGUAUCUCAUGCGUCGCCAAGAAGCUCUGCAGUCCGGUUUGGCUGGCCUUUUGGUGAAGAAAUAAGUGAAGAAAGUUGAAGACUUGAUAAUUCUUCAUGAAAUUCCUGGUGUGUGAUUUUACAGUGUUAUUAGUUUCAUCCUGUUGUUCCAGCUCUUCAGUUUUAUACUAUUAGCGUGGAAGUUGUGGAAACAAAGUACUUUGCUUUGCAACAUUCAGUUCAUAAAAUCCAAGGGAAAUUUAAACUGUAAGGAUGUGGAUCGGUGUUGCCCUUUUGGACACUAAUUUCUGGUUGCAGAUAGUUCAAUACCUCGUUAUGUUCGAGUAAAUACUCCGCCUUACUUGAAUUAGAGAAGCAAUUUAAGGUUCAAAAGGAUGACUUGGUACCUGAUUUGUUGGUUCUUCCACCGGGUAGUGAUCUUCGUGAUCAUCCUCUAGUAAUGGAUGGAAGUAUUGUUAUGCAAAAAAAUUGUCUAAACCGUGAAGGAUCCAUUUAUCUUUUAUCUGUGAUUUAUGGUUUUAUCAUUUGUUUAACGGGGAAAGGCAAGCUCUAUGGUGGCCGCAGCCCUCGCUCCAAAACCAGGAUGGGAGGUUCUUUAUGCGAGCUUGGCUCCUGGAAACAAAACUGUACACCCUUCAGCUCUAAUGAGAGGAAAAAGGGAAAUGUCAUAGCAUGUGAGCUGAAUGAAGAAAGGGUCCGACGUUUAAAAGAGACGAUCGGACUUUCUGGUACUUCUAGUAUCCUUCUUCCUUAGUCUUUUUGUUUACUUUCUGUCUAUUCUCUUUUUCCUUGUUGAAAAGAGUGGAACUACGGCAAUCUAACGAGGAAUGCCGGUCUCUGAAUCUUUGCUGUCGUAGCGUUAACAUAUUGAUAACCCAUUUGACUUCACCUGGACUUAGAUAUUAAGGUUGUGGAUGGAGUUUUCUUAGACUUGAACCCUGAAGAUCCUCAAUAUUCCAAGGUUAGACGACUUGACUUCCGGACCGUUGUUACCUUUCUCCUCUUGGUUGCAGACUUGCGUUUUACAAUGCUUCAAAUAUGUUCCUUUCAUGCUUACAACGAAAAUCUGUUGUGUUUGGCUCAUAUACUUAUGAGUUGGCAAUAAUUUUGAUAGUGUAACUUUCUGAAUGCUACAAGGAAAUGGCAGCAGCCAUUUGUGACUUUGUGUUUGGCUUUCGAUUGUGGCAUGGAAAUCUUGUUUCAGCAGAAGACAUGGUGACUGCCACAAUCAAAGUUGGAAGCAAGCAAGUCUUGACUUUGUGCUUGCUUGCAAUUGUGCAUGUUUUAUUUUCUAAACAUUAAAUGGCAAAUGGAGAAAAAGUUGUACUCUAUAGGCUAGGUAUAAAAAAGGGUGUUGAAUGUGCCAUGUGAACUUAAGAUUUUCUUGGUCUUGGUUGUUGGCAUAAUUGUUGGUGCAUGACUAUAAGUGAAGGAAAUAGUUAUGCAUUGUGUGAGCAUCCGGAGGAGAGCACAAGGGAGAGAAAAUAGAGAGUGAGAGUGAGAAACUCUUGGGGUAGAGUGAGGUUUUUGGGAAAAUUCUGUGAC